CCCACUUCGUGUCUACCAAAUGACAGCCUGGUGCUCGCUCUUGGUGAUUUGGCCUUGACUUCAGCCAAGCAGCUGAUGCAGACGAAGCCUCCGUUUGCAGGACUGGCAAAGUGCACGCUAAAGAAAGAAGGAAGAAAUUUUUCAAAAAGCAGCUCUGGGGAGGUUUCAUACUCCCCCCCCCCCCCCGCCUUUUUUUAAUUUUUAAGUGAAUAUUUUCCAAAUUUGAUCAGUUCCAGCCCCUCCCUCCACUCCCACCCAACUGCCCUUUUUUCUCUCGUCAAAGCAUAAGCUACAGAGUUACAGUCUCGAGAUUUGGUGUAUCGCUUCCUGCCCCCGCCUCCCCUCCCCGCCCCCGUUCUCCGUCCUCUAUUGAAACACCUCGCCCAGCCUAGCGCACUGAGAGCUCUCAUUUUCCCCCCUUGCUCGGGAUGGUGCCACAGGAGGCUGUGCGGGCCCCGCUCCGCUUCGAAUGGAUACAGUUAAGCUAAUGAUCUCGAGAGGAUAUCGUCCUGGAUAAGGGUGGAGCCUACGCCCAAAAACAAGAUUACCUGAAAGAGAAAAGAAAGGGGGAAAACACACAGAGAUACAGUCGGGGAGGCCACAUGAAGAUGGAGGCAGAGACAGGAGUGAUGAGCCUGCAAGCCAAGGAAUGCCAAGGGCUGCCAGCAGCCAUGAGAAGCUGAGAGACACAGAGAACGAGUCCUCUGCCAGAGCCUCCAGAAGGAACUAACCCUGUCAAUACCUUGAUUUCGGACUUCUGGACUCCAGAACUAUAACCCUCCUUCCUCCACCUCACAAAAACUCACAAGCUGCAACCCUUCUGAUGUCCACUCCCACACAAACCAGCUUCAGGCCUUUUUCAAGUGGAUGCUGUGGGGCACCACCUCCUUGAGGACCAAGGCACUCCAGCUGCCAGGAAUUUGGCUGCUAACCUCACACAGCUGAGCCUUCCAUGAAAAUUGCUCUCUGCCAAAGAGAACUUCCUAGUCCAAGGUCAUGUCUACUCUCCAGAGAUGUGACUGGAGUGAUUUGCACCCGGAUGCCUAGACUCGCCAUCUGCUCAAAGACUGCUCAGAAAGCCCUCCCAUGCAUUCCCCUGCUGCAUACCAGCCCACUCUGCCUGCAGCUGCUGUCUGCAGGACUUCAUAUCUAUGCCACACUGUGUAAAAGCUGUGCUUCAAGAAAUCACAAAAACAUUUUCCUGCACCUACUACACAGCCUGAGUGCGGCAUAAGUUGACCUUGCUUGCUAAGAAAUGGGGCAAGAAAUGCUUUUUUGUGUGUGUCAUGUCUGUUUGUUUUUCAAUUAAGAGAGGAAAGCAUUAGGCAGAUGGAAUGUACAUGUGAGGAUGAGGAGACAGAAAACAAGUAGCCCUUUCCAUCAAGAUAGAGGGUUUUCUGGGGUUGCUGGCUAUUGAAUGUCACUCCUGAUUUCUCUUUCCAAGGCACUGUACCACCAGCCUACUGAGAUUGUGUGGGAGCUUUCAUGGGGGUUGUAUUUCACUGAUGAAAAUAAAUUUUUUGCAUAAUGAAAAAAAAAAAAAAAAAAAAAAAAAAAAAAA
rnacentral:lncRNA from 1 species